rnacentral:rRNA from 1 species
UACAGAGACCCCAAGCGUUAUCCGGUUUCAUUGGGCGUAAAGCGUUCCGACAGGUGGAUUUGUGUGUCUUUGGUGAAAGACCGAGGCCUAACCUCGUGUUUGCCACAGAAACUGCAAAUCUUGAAGUGCAAAGAGGUAGCUGGAACUCUACAAGUAGGGGUGAAAUCCGUUGAUAUGUAGGGGAACACCAAAAGCGAAGGCAAGCUACUGGGUGCAUCUUGACACUGCUAGGACGAAAGCGUGGGGAGCGAUACGG